UGACGUCAAGUCCUCAUGGCCUUUAUGCCCAGGGCUACACACGUGCUACAAUGGGUGGUACAAAGAGCAGCAAUCUCGCGAGAGGGAGCAAAUCUCAUAAAGCCAUCCUCAGUUCGGAUUGGAGUCUGCAACUCGACUCCAUGAAGUUGGAAUCGCUAGUAAUCGCGGAUCAGCAUGCCCGCGGUCCGAAUACGUUCCGGGCCUU
rnacentral:rRNA from 1 species